ACGAACGCUGGCGGCAUGCCUAACACAUGCCAGUCGAACGAGACCUUCGGGUCUAGUGGCGCACGGGUGCGUAACGCGUGGGAACCUGCCCUUAGGUUCGGAAUAACUCCCCGAAAGGGGUGCUAAUACCGGAUAAUGUCUUCGGACCAAAGAUUUAUCGCCUUUGGAUGGGCCCGCGUUGGAUUAGCUAGUUGGUAGGGUAAAAGCCUACCAAGGCGACGAUCCAUAGCUGGUCUGAGGGGAUGAUCAGCCACACUGGGACUGAGACACGGCCCAGACUCCUACGGGAGGCAGCAGUGGGGAAUAUUGGACAAUGGGCGAAAGCCUGAUCCAGCAAUGCCGCGUGAGUGAUGAAGGCCUUAGGGUUGUAAAGCUCUUUUACCCGGGAUGAUAAUGACAGUACCGGGAGAAUAAGCUCCGGCUAACUCCGUG
rnacentral:rRNA from 1 species